GGACUCGCUGACCGCCAUUUAUUGGUCCACUUCAAAAGAUCUAAACUUUCCCUUUAAUCCUCUUUGUUUUUAAGCAUAAUGUGCCCAGCCAAAACAUCCCACUCGCUUUGACCCUACAUGCCACUUGAGAAGGGCUAGUUCAGAGUAGACCUGCGUCAGUUCCACACCACAUCACCUACCAGCACUCCACGAUGGACUUACCUGAGGGGGAUCAGACUGUACGGCAGUGAGGUAGUUCUCCAGGGCCAGGCGGCGGUU